AACUGUGAAACCAGGAGAGCUUUGGCAGAGUUGAGGUUUCAUGCACUGUCAUAAAUAUAGGUUUGCCUAAAGAAAACAUUCUGGCUCCAUGCUGUCACAGUUAGGUAUUCAGGUUGGCCAUUUGCAGCUUCUAUUCAAAAGAGCAAGAUGUAAACAGUGUGCUCAAAGGCACCUGACGGGGUCUCACUGACCUGUUGCUGUGCUCUGCUUUAUAUUUCCUGGCUCUAACCUGGCCAUGUAAGGGAACAAGUUUUAAGGACUCUGCAAGAGAAAGGACGCAGUUAGACAAGGUCUAGAAUUCUGACAGAUGCAACAAUGGCUACACAGUUGGAGCAACACCCAGUCUCCCUGGAUUAUUUACUGCUUCAAACAAAAUGUGACUUAUUUCUACCCACUGCUUUAAACCGUUUUGGCAGGUGCCAGGACACAACUCUCUCAAAAGAGAUUAUGCAGCUGCUAUAAAAUCUUGGAAGGAACUGGCAGAUUUGGGUAGGAAAAGAAGCUUUCUCUUAGAGGUGGGUACCUGGCAAGGUUAGAGUUAUUAGUGGAUUUGAUUGCGAAAUUUUAUGAUAGAUGUGCAGCCUACAAUUCUUGCUGUCCACAAAAAACACCAGCAGCUCAUGUGCACACACUGUAUUUACUUUAAAAUUACUAAGACUGGGAUUUUUGCACAAUGAUGAGCAAAUAAAUGAGCACAUCA